GAUGAACGCUGGCGGCGUGCUUAACACAUGCAAGUCGAGCGAAGCAUUUGCAGUUGAUUUCUUCGGAAUGAUUCUGUUUAUGACUGAGCGGCGUCGGGUGAAGGUACGCGUGGGAACCUGCCUCAUACAGGGGGAUAACAGUUAGAAAUGACUGCUAAUACCGCAUAAGCGCACAGUGCCGCAUGGCGCCGUGUGAAAAACUCCGGUGGUAUGAGAUGGAACCCGCGUCUGAUUAGCUGGUUGGUGGGGUAACGGCCCACCAAGGCGACGAUCAGUAGCCGACCUGAGAGGGUGAUCGGCCACAUUGGGACUGAGACACGGCCCAA
rnacentral:rRNA from 1 species